UAUAUAAACAGCCAGAACUCCAGUUAGUAAUGGAACAAUCAAAGAAGAAAGAUAUAUUCCAAGUGAAACAAACACACAUCCCGAAGGAUUAAUGUAAUAACGCCUCCUUUGAGGAUCGAAUGUAACAGACCAAGAUAAAUAUGACUUUGGUGGAGGAUGCUGAAUAUAGAAAACAUUUUCUUCAAGAGAUGAGGGACUAACUCUCGAUAGAAAACUGUUGUUUUGAAGACUACCAUAAAUGAAUGAUUUAUCGGCUUUACCAUCCUUAUUCAAUCCCCACACAUUGAACUGGAGAGCUGAUGGAUAGACGUCUGCUAUGUGAUAUCCCAAGAAACUUCCAUUUUCCAAAGGCAGCAUUCUAUUGCGUAUGUCUGAAUCAUGAGUCCACUGCGUAUAAUCACUGUCCAUAAACACAUGAGGAAACCAUCGUUUAUAGGGAUAUUCAAGGUCCGACUCUUGCAUAUAAUUGGAAGAUCCUGUCAACUCACUCCAAUACUGAACCAUUAUAUGAUGGCCUUUCCAACCAUAGCGACUGCUUUGACUCCAACCAGAUAAAUUGCAAUAAGUAUUGUUUCCAUCGUAAGUUUGCCAUUCCGUCCACGUAGAGCCAAAAUCUAAUGAAUAACGGAACAUAUCAGCACCUAUAGCCGCAUGUUUAAUAUAUACUGAGUUAUUCUCCUUUUGUAGCAAAUCAUAUGAAUAAUUAGCAGAAGAAAAAACUAUAGGAUUAUUUAAACUUCCCACGCGAAGUAGAAAAUGGUCCACCGAAUGAGUGAAAUCUUUGCCGUCAGCUGUACUAGCAUUAUUAAAGGAAAUCCGAUGGAUUCCAUCGGCAAUAUUGGAGAAGGUUGCCGACCAGCGAAACAAACUGCUUGAUUGCCCUGAAAACCUUACUCGGUCUUUGUCAUUUAUCUUUUGGCAAGUUACUGAACUCUCAUCAAGUACAGGCGAAUCCCCAUUCAGAGUUUUGGAUGUAAUUAACAACGACUUUGAAAUUGAUUUGCAAUCCAUUUCUUCAGAAAACUCUACAAUUAUCCUCAAUUUUUCUAAUGGGAUUACUAAUCUUGAAUCAUGGCUUGGAGAAAAUUUCGUAAUAAACGGUCGACGAGGAAUAUAUUCAUUAAUCGGAACAAACAGUUUAUAACCAUACCCAUCCAAUCCUAGCUCUGGCAAGCACCCCAUAGGCUCUGUAUUCGAAAUUUGUGAAAAAUGAGAAGACGCCUCAAGUUGAUACUCAUCAUAGGGGUAAACCAAGUUCUUAAUUUUUGUACCACUAAUAAACGGGGAUACAAUGGCUUCUUUUGAAAAGCAAUUUGAUUUCAAAUUCACGCUCACGUUUGAAUUUGUAAACAAUAUCCAAACGUCUGAGGAAGAUGUUUUAACUCCAGGAAAAUUGUAUUCUGAGCUUAUAUUUUGCAAUGAAUUAAUGGCACCCCUCACCAUACUAAACGUACCAACGUUGGAGGGAUUUAUGCCGCUAUUUGGCAGAUAUUCAAUAUUGGUCCAGUUUCCUAAAAGUUCCGAUUUCCAGCCGUGAGUGAGCGCACUAUAUCGAGACCUGAUAUCUUGAAACUCUAUAAAUAAUUGUCGCUCAAUUCUUGAAGGGUCAAAAUGAUCUAAAGAAUUCCAAAUAUCUAAACAACCAAUUUUCGCGGGACUUAAGUCAAUAGCAGGGUAAGUAGAAGAUGAUCCAGAAUAACAGCCAUGAAUAUACCAAGCCGGAGCCGCAGCCAUGGAUUGUCUGCCAUAUAAAUAAUUGUUUGCACUGUUAUCUAAAACGUACAGUCCUUGUUCAUCACCAUAAUAUAUUAGAGGCGCACCAGGAAACAAAAAAAAUGUCAUCAUUGUUCCUAAGAUUAAUCGGCGAGAGCCAUCAGCAACCGAUGCCCAGCGGAAAACAUCGUAAUUUGAAACACCGUAUAAAUGGCGAGGGUCAUAUUUUUCAGUUUUGGGAUUGAAAGAAUCUUCAUUUAUCACAAUUUGGUGCCAUGCUUCAGCCAAAUCUACAGGGAGAUCGUAAGGGAUCUCCAUUAAACCAUCCAUUCUCAAGAAUCGUAAAAUAAUCCUGUAAACUGAAUAAUGAAAAGCGGAUGCAUCCAAAGCAUUUUCACCUUCUUCUCUUAGGAAGUAAACAUUAUCAGAAGAAGUAGCAUUCAGCGCAUCGAUUAAAUUUGCGGGACGUUGAUUUGGCUGUCUACCCCGGUUAUAGUAUAUAGCUCCAAAGCUUGAGGGACCAGUGACUUCUCCAGGUAUAAAAAAAUUACUUUUGUUAAAUCGAUUUGCGCAGAGACGAACGCUUUUGGCCCAAUCUACAAGGAAAUCUACUGUCAUCUGGGUAGCCUUAUCAAUGCGAAAACCGUCUACAUCAAGCAUAGAAAUCACCAAGCAUGAAAGCCUCUUGAGUUUCGAUGCUACCGAAGGUUUCCAUUCACGAAGCCGGUCCUGAACAGAUGCAAAUUUUGAGAGUUGACGUUGCCAAUCAGGAUGACUACCAAACGCUUCAGUAUCACCAUACUGGUCAAAGUCCGAAUUAUAACAACCCGUCCAUUCUACUACCACAGGUUCACCAGAUUCGCCCCAAAAUCUAGGCAAUUCACAGUCAGGGUCCCACGAAUUUGUGAAAUUCCAAUCAGCAUACCGAUCUUCUCCUUUCCAAAGAGCGUUAUGCUCAAUAAAAGUAAACGGAGUAGUAGUGUUUGUGAAACCCUCGAAACCUAUCAGAUCGGCUAAUGUAGCAACGGUGAGAUCCACAAUUACAUACAUGCCUUUACUAUGCAUUUCUUCGAUUGUUCCUCUCCAGUCGUUAAUCGUCCCUAAAUGAGGAUCAAGUAACGUGAAAUCAAGAGGAGAAUACUGAUCAGCUCCCCAAGGCAUAUUAACAAAAGGUGUCCCAGCAAAGUAAACAGCUUUAACACCCAUACCUUGCAAAUAGUCUAAAGAUUGACGCACACCAAUUAUAUCUCCACCGUUUCUAAAUUCUGUCUCAUAAAUGUCGUAUUCAAAUCUUGUUCCACUAAAAUCAUUAUUGGUUGGAUCUCCAUCGACCCAUUUGUCAAUAGCAAUAGUAUAAAUGGGAAAUCUCCAAUGUUCUGGGCUAGGAAAAAAUUCAUGAUUCUCCCAUUCACCCCAAUAAUCCGAUGGAUCAAGAGCAGAAACGUUAGUGUUCAAAUUCCAAUCAGUAAGGAGAUUAUUGAAAGGAGCGCACCAAGCAUGUUUGUCAAGUAUAACAAUAUACAAAAAGAAAGAAACAACAAGAGGGUACGCCAUAUCCCUAAGUGUAAAAAUCUAGUUAAAUAGUUGAAAAAGUAAAAAGAUUUUAACAAAUUUGAUAGGAGCACAAAAGAUAGAAGGUAAAGUCUUCAGACUUAAACUAGU